GACGGAGGAUGCAAGUGUUAUCCGGAAUCACUGGGCGUAAAGCGUCUGUAGGUGGUUUAAAAAGUCCACUGUUAAAAAUUGAAGCUUAACUUCAAAGAUGCCGUGGAAACUUUUAAACUUGAGUAUGGUAGGGGUAGAGGGAAUUUCCAGUGGAGCGGUGAAAUGCGUAGAUAUUGGAAAGACCACCAAUGGCGAAGGCACUCUACUGGGCCAUUACUGACACUGAGAGACGAAAGCUAGGGGAGCAAAUGGG
rnacentral:rRNA from 1 species